UAGGGAAUCUUCCACAAUGGACGCAAGUCUGAUGGAGCAACGCCGCGUGAGUGAAGAAGGUUUUCGGACCGUAAAGCUCCGUUGUUGGUGAAGAAGGAUAGAGGUAGUAACUGGCCUUUAUUUGACGGUAAUCAACCAGAAAGUCACGGCUAACUACGUGCCAGCAGCCGCGGUAAUACGUAGGUGGCAAGCGUUGUCCGGAUUUAUUGGGCGUAAAGCGAGCGCAGGCGGAAGAAUAAGUCUGAUGUGAAAGCCCUCGGCUUAACCGAGGAAUUGCAUCGGAAACUGUUUUCUUGAGUGCAGAAGAGGAGAGUAGAACUCCAUGUGUAGCGGUGGAAUGCGUAGAUAUAUGGAAGAAUACCAGUGGCGAAGGCGGCUCUCUGGUCUGCAACUGACGCUGAGGCUCGAAAGCAUGGGUAGCGAACAGGAUUAGAUACCCUGGUAGUCCAUGCCGUAAACGAUGAGUGCUAAGUGUUGGGAGGCUUCCGCCUCUCAGUGCUGCAGCUAACGCAUUAAGCACUCCGCCUGGGGGAGUACGACCGCAAGGUUGAAAC
rnacentral:rRNA from 1 species